UACGUAGGGUGCAAGCGUUAAUCGGAAUUACUGGGCGUAAAGCGUGCGCAGGCGGUCUUGCAAGACAGAUGUGAAAUCCCCGGGCUUAACCUGGGAACUGCAUUUGUGACUGCAAGGCUGGAGUGCGGCAGAGGGGGAUGGAAUUCCGCGUGUAGCAGUGAAAUGCGUAGAUAUGCGGAGGAACACCGAUGGCGAAGGCAAUCCCCUGGGCCUGCACUGACGCUGAUGCGCGAAAGCCAGGGGAGCGAACGGG
rnacentral:rRNA from 1 species